rnacentral:lncRNA from 1 species
AUGAGCCACCCAGCCUGGACCCCGUGCAGAGCUUCUCCCAAGAGGCAGUGGACACAGGCAGGAUCCUCUACCUGCACUCCCGCCCUGAGGCAUGCCUUCUCGCUGGAUGUGGCCUCGGCCUGGGUGCUCCCCUUGAGGACGUCACGUGGAGCUGGAGGUGCUGCCUGCUGUCAUCCCCACUGGGGGCACAAAACUUCAGCAGUAGAGGGGGCACAGUCGCAGCUGCACCCUGGCCCCUCCACUGCUCCGCGUUGCCAGGUCCUACUUCCCCACUCUCCCGGGCCUUGGCCUGCAGGUGCUGGAGCCACCCCGGCAUGGGGCCCUGCAGAAGGAGGAUGGGCCUCAAGCCAGGACCCUCAGCACCUUCUGCUGGAGAGAGGUGGAAGAGCAUCUGAUCCAGUACCUGCACGAUGGGAGCAAGACACUGACGGUUUUGUCCUGAUGGCUAAUGCCUCUGAGAUGGACCGCCAGAGCCAUCCUGUGGCCUUCACUGUCACCAUCCUGCCUGUCAAUGGCCAACCCCCGACCUCAUACAAACUCAGGCCUGCAGGGGCCCUGGACGGAGGCAUCCACUUUGGCCUCUCUGACGGUGAACAUACUUCCUCCAGACACUUAGUUUCUGAGUGA